AUUCAAUCGCUGAAACCAUCCAAGCUAAGGGCCGUGGCAACAGUAAUUACACAUGAGGGACAUACAUAUUUAUAAGAAAAGCAUCAAAAACUUGAAGUGUCCAAGCUGCCAUAUUCAGGACAGAAGCAGCAAUGCUGUUGAGGUAGAAGAAUGUGACUUUGCAAUUCAAAUAAAUGAAGCAGAACUUCUAAAGAGCAUACAUUAUAGAUUGACAAUAUUCUUGGUGAUGGAAACCUUGGGAAAAAUAGCAACAUGUUAAAGGCAAGAUGUUAUGAGUAGCAGAUGAUCUGUGACAGUCCAAUUAUUGUUCAUAUGGAAAUAAAUCUUACAUUGUUU